GACGAACGCUGGCGGCGUGCUUAACACAUGCAAGUCGAACGGAAAGGGCCUGCUUUUGUGGGGUGCUCGAGUGGCGAACGGGUGAGUAACACGUGAGUAACCUGCCCUUGACUUUGGGAUAACUUCAGGAAACUGGGGCUAAUACCGGAUAGGAGCUCCUGCUGCAUGGUGAGGGUUGGAAAGUUUCGGCGGUUGGGGAUGGACUCGCGGCUUAUCAGCUUGUUGGUGGGGUAGUGGCUUACCAAGGCUUUGACGGGUAGCCGGCCUGAGAGGGUGACCGGCCACAUUGGGACUGAGAUACGGCCCAGACUCCUACGGGAGGCAGCAGUGGGGAAUAUUGCACAAUGGGCGGAAGCCUGAUGCAGCAACGCCGCGUGCGGGAUGACGGCCUUCGGGUUGUAAACCGCUUUCGCCUGUGACGAAGCGUGAGUGACGGUAAUGGGUAAAGAAGCACCGGCUAACUACGUG
rnacentral:rRNA from 1 species